rnacentral:rRNA from 2 species
AAAUUGAAGAGUUUGAUCAUGGCUCAGAUUGAACGCUGGCGGCAGGCCUAACACAUGCAAGUCGAACGGUAACAGGAAGCAGCUUGCUGCUUCGCUGACGAGUGGCGGACGGGUGAGUAAUGUCUGGGAAACUGCCUGAUGGAGGGGGAUAACUACUGGAAACGGUGGCUAAUACCGCAUAACGUCGCAAGACCAAAGAGGGGGACCUUCGGGCCUCUUGCCAUCAGAUGUGCCCAGAUGGGAUUAGCUUGUUGGUGAGGUAACGGCUCACCAAGGCGACGAUCCCUAGCUGGUCUGAGAGGAUGACCAGCCACACUGGAACUGAGACACGGUCCAGACUCCUACGGGAGGCAGCAGUGGGG